UUUAUGAGAAGAAAGCUAAAGCGAUGCUAAAGAUAGAAAAUUUGAGGGUCUUGAAACAUAUUUUAAAGGCCUACGAAGAAAGGAGUGAAGGUGGCUGCCAAGAAAAAGAUGGUAUGACCUUGAUCUGUUUUUUUUCUAAUUUGUAGUAAGUUUUCGAACAUUCAAUUAUUGUGUGUUUCUAUUUUAAAUGUUGAGUUUCUUUUUCCUGUGCCUUGCUUGAUUUUGAUGCAAACUUGAUAUUUCGAUUAACACUUUUUUGGAUGUGAAAGAGUUCGAUAAGAGAGCAAGUUUUGGCUUCGUUGUUGCCGAAUUCAACAAGGACUUGUCAUUUUUCAGUCUCUCGAGAAGCUAAUUUAAAUGCAACUAUGUCCUUUGACAAGUUUAUGCUCUAACUAGCUAGUGUGCAGUUUUUUUUUAGGUACAGAGUGCAAAAAUAUAUUUCUUUUCUUGACCAACCAUAAUAUUUACUUUGCAGGAGCUACGAGCAGAGUCUGUGAUUUAUAUAUUACUUUCUAAGUUUGAGUUUAAGUUUCCUAAAGGUCUCUGUUUUGUUUAUUUAUGUUUUUUUGCUACAUACAAAAUGAGAAGGAAGGUGUUUAGGAGAAGGAACUUGCAUGUGGUUGCAGGAGCUUAAGUGGUAAGACGUUUCUUCAAGUUUUAAACUCCCUAUUAGCUUAAUUCUAAGGCUAUCAUGAUUAUGUCCAAGCUAACCAAGUACGUAGUAUACAUAUGUGUAUGUUUGGUAGAUGUAUUCCCAUGUGUCUAUUUCUUUUUUCAUCUUAGUGAAAAAGAGUUCUAAGAUGGUUUCUUUUGUCCCCUUGUUCUUAUGUCAUUUACUUGAAACCUCUUUAUUUUACUAGCUUAUGGUUCGUGUUUCAGUUGUAUUGUCUUAAUCAUGACGUGACUCAACAGUUUUUCAUGAAGUGUCUUCACUCAAAAUCUUUUGUUUCAUGUAGCCGAUCGACGAGAGGGCUAAUAGAAACAAUUGAUGAGGAGGCGAAAUAGAUAGAGGGGAAGAAAUUGAAGAGAUUGAAGUAUUUGUUUUCGUGCAUUUUUGUAUGUCUAAUGUGUAUUGACUUGGUCUUGUUCAAUUAACAGUUAAUAGGCACUAUGGCGAGACAAACAUGAAUGUUCAUAGUAGCAGAUCUCACACCAUCUUCAGAAUGGGUGGAGGCAGGUCUUCUGCUAGAGAGACCAUUGGAAGAGUUGCUCCUGAGCUUUGGCAAGAAAAUUUUGAAGCAAUUUCCAGGAUUUGAGGUGUGUUUACUUUCAGUCCAUGAACGUUGUUGAUUGUAUUGGUUUCGUUUGCUUUGUUUUAUUGUAAAACAGGUUAAGAGAGAGGAUGGUUUCAAAGACUUGUUUUCGUCAUGUGAUAAGAAUGUUGUGAGGCUUAGUUACGAGAUAACACAUUCCACGGGUAUAAA